UAGAGUUUGAUCCUGGCUCAGGACGAACGCUGGCGGCGUGCCUAAUACAUGCAAGUCGAACGCACUCUCGUUUAGAUUGAAGGAGCUUGCUCCUGAUUGAUAAACAUUUGAGUGAGUGGCGGACGGGUGAGUAACACGUGGGUAACCUGCCCUAAAGUGGGGGAUAACAUUUGGAAACAGAUGCUAAUACCGCAUAAAACCUAACACCGCAUGGUGUAGGGUUGAAAGAUGGUUUCGGCUAUCACUUUAGGAUGGACCCGCGGUGCAUUAGUUAGUUGGUGAGGUAAAGGCUCACCAAGACCGUGAUGCAUAGCCGACCUGAGAGGGUAAUCGGCCACACUGGGACUGAGACACGGCCCAGACUCCUACGGGAGGCAGCAGUAGGGAAUCUUCCACAAUGGACGAAAGUCUGAUGGAGCAACGCCGCGUGAGUGAAGAAGGUUUUCGGAUCGUAAAACUCUGUUGUUGGAGAAGAAUGUAUCUGAUAAGUAACUGAUCAGGUAGUUGACGGUAUUCCAACCAGAAAGCCACGGCUAACUACGUGCCAGCAGCCGCGGUAAUACGUAGGUGGCAAGCGUUGUCCGGAUUUAUUGGGCGUAAAGCGAGCGCAGGCGGUUUCUUAAGUCUGAUGUGAAAGCCUUCGGCUCAACCGAAGAAGUGCAUCGGAAACUGGGAAACUUGAGUGCAGAAGAGGACAGUGGAACUCCAUGUGUAGCGGUGAAAUGCGUAGAUAUAUGGAAGAACACCAGUGGCGAAGGCGGCUGUCUGGUCUGUAACUGACGCUGAGGCUCGAAAGCAUGGGUAGCAAACAGGAUUAGAUACCCUGGUAGUCCAUGCCGUAAACGAUGAGUGCUAGGUGUUGGAGGGUUUCCGCCCUUCAGUGCCGCAGCUAACGCAUUAAGCACUCCGCCUGGGGAGUACGACCGCAAGGUUGAAACUCAAAGGAAUUGACGGGGGCCCGCACAAGCGGUGGAGCAUGUGGUUUAAUUCGAAGCAACGCGAAGAACCUUACCAGGUCUUGACAUCCUUUGACCACUCUAGAAGAUAGAGCUUUCCCUUCGGGGACAAAGUGACAGGUGGUGCAUGGUUGUCGUCAGCUCGUGUUGUGAAAUGUUGGGUUAAGUCCCGUAACGAGCGCAACCCCUAUCCUUAUUUGCCAGCGAGUAAUGUCGGGAACUCUAAGGAGACUGCCGGUGAUAAGCCGGAGGAAGGUGGGGAUGACGUCAAGUCCUCAUGGCCCUUACGCGCUGGGCUACACACGUGCUACAAUGGCAGGUACAGUGGGCAGCAAUCCCGCGAGGGUGAGCUAAUCUCCAAAACCUGUCUCAGUUCGGAUUGCACUCUGCAACUCGAGUGCAUGAAGGCGGAAUCGCUAGUAAUCGCGGAUCAGCAUGCCGCGGUGAAUACGUUCCCAGGCCUUGUACACACCGCCCGUCACACCAUGGGAGUUGGAUUCACCCGAAGGCGUUGCGCUAACCAGCAAUGGAGGCAGGCGACCACGGUGGGUUUAGCGACUGGGGUGAAGUCGUAACAAGGUAACC
rnacentral:rRNA from 1 species